rnacentral:rRNA from 1 species
AUUGAACGCUGGCGGCAGGCCUAACACAUGCAAGUCGAGCGAGCGGCGGACGGGUGAGUAAUGUAUGGGGACUGCCCGCUCGAGGGGGAUAACUACUGGAAACGGUAGCUAAUACCGCAUAUUCUCGGAUACGCCAUAUGGGUUUAGCUAAUAGGUGCGGUAAUGGCUCACCUAGGCGACGAUCCCUAGCUGGUCUGAGAGGAUGAUCAGCCAAACUGGGACUUAGACACGGCCCAGACUCCUACGGAGGCAGCAGUGGGGAAUUUUGGACAAUGGGGGAAACCCUGAUCCAGCCAUCCCGCGUGUAUGAUGAAGGCCUUCGGGUUUUAAAGUACGUUUGGCAGAGAAGCGGUAUCUGCAGAAUAAGCACCGGCUAACUACGUGCCAGCAGCCGCGGUAAUUC